CCUACGGGAGGCAGCAGUGGGGAAUAUUGGACAAUGGGGGGAACCCUGAUCCAGCCAUGCCGCGUGUGUGAAGAAGGCCCUCGGGUUGUAAAGCACUUUCAGUGAGGAAGAACGCCUGGUGGUUAAUACCCAUCAGGAAAGACAUCUCUCACAGAAGAAGCACCGGCUAACUCCGUGCCAGCAGCCGCGGUAAUACGGAGGGUGCGAGCGUUAAUCGGAAUUACUGGGCGUAAAGCGCGCGUAGGUGGCUUGAUAAGCCGGUUGUGAAAGCCCCGGGCUCAACCUGGGAACGGCAUCCGGAACUGUCAAGCUAGAGUGCAGGAGAGGAAGGUAGAAUUCCCGGUGUAGCGGUGAAAUGCGUAGAGAUCGGGAGGAAUACCAGUGGCGAAGGCGGCCUUCUGGACUGACACUGACACUGAGGUGCGAAAGCGUGGGUAGCAAACAGGAUUAGAUACCCUUGUAGUC
rnacentral:rRNA from 1 species